rnacentral:rRNA from 1 species
AUUGAACGCUGGCGGCAUGCCUUACACAUGCAAGUCGAACGGGAGCACGGGUGCUUGCACCUGGUGGCGAGUGGCGAACGGGUGGGUAAUACAUCGGAACGUACCUUAUCGUGGGGGAUAACGCAGCGAAAGCUGUGCUAAUACCGCAUACGCCCUGAGGGGGAAAGCGGGGGAUCGCAAGACCUCGCGCGAUUAGAGCGGCCGAUGCCUGAUUAGCUAGUUGGUGGGGUAAAAGCCCACCAAGGCGACGAUCAGUAGCUGGUCUGAGAGGACGAGCAGCCACACUGGGACUGAGACACGGCGCAGACUCCUACGGGAGGCAGCAGUGGGAAAUUUUGGACAAUGGGGGCAACCCUGAUCCAGCAAUGCCGCGUGAGUGAAGAAGGCCUUCGGGUUGUAAAGCUCUUUUGUCAGGGAAGAAACACCGGCUCUAACACAGUCCGGGAAUGACGGUACCUGAAGAAUAAGCACCGGCUAACUACGUGCCAGCCGCCGCCGUAA